rnacentral:rRNA from 1 species
GACAGAGGCCUCGAGCGUUAGGCGGAAUCACUGGGCUUAAAGCGUGUGUAGGCGGAUCGUUAAGUACCUUGUGAAAUCCCACGGCUCAACCGUGGAACGGCUGGGUAUACUGGCGGUCUUGGGCCAUUCAGGGGCGACUGGAACAAGCGGUGGAGCGGUGAAAUGCGUAGAUAUCGCUUGGAACGCCGAAGGUGAAAACAGGUCGCUGGGGGAUGUGCCGACGCUGAGACACGAAAGCCAGGGGGAGCAAACGGG